AAAAUAACCUAUGUGUACAAAAAUAGUCUAGCAUUUCUUUUUGUGUUAGCAAAGAACUGGAAACUGUUGAGAGUAUGCCUGUUAACUGGGGAAUGACUGAACAAAUAGUAGCAUAUGAUUGUGAUGGGAUAAUAUUGUGCUAUAAGAAAUUAUGAGCAAAAUGGUUUCAGAAAAACCUGAAAAAAACUUAUAUUAAUUGAAGCAGUGAAGUGAGCAGAACCAGGAGAGCAUUGUAGAUAACAGCAAUAUUGUAUGAUGAUCAAUUGUGAAAGACUUAGCUACCCUGAUUGACACUGAACCAAAACAAUUCCAAAUAAUAACUAAUGAAAAAUUCUAUCUACCUCCAGAGUGAUAACUGAUAAACUUUGAAUGCAGAUUGAAGGCAGAGCCAAAAUCGUGGUGUAAUAGUAGGAGCUUUCUGAAUUUCCUUCUAACUGAUCAUUACAAAGUAUCUCAAAAGGACAGAAAUAAAAAUUAGGCUAGUAAAGGGGCUCUUACACUGGAUACAGAGUAAAAGGUAGGCAGUGAGAAGGGAAUCCCACAGUAUAAGGGGGAGAAAUGGCACUAAUCAAGCAAAAGCUGGCCACUCAUCCCUCAUACAACCUACUGUUCCAGUUAAAGUGAGGGCCAGGCCAAUCUCCAAAUUCUCAGGGUCUAGCUGAAAGCACCACAGAUGGAAUGUGCCAGGCUUUGGCAGUGAGACUUAAGGCUAAAAAACAGAGUUUGGGCAGAAAUGCUGCUGGCCACAGCCAAAGUAACAGGGGGUAGGAAGAUAAUCUCAGGACAAAAAUGCUUUAAAGUGUGCUAAACAACACAACAUCUACUCUCAUUUGGAUUUCUAACAGGGAAAGGAAGAUAGUACCAAGUCAAAGCCCUGAGAGACAGAAGCUAAGAAAGUGGUGACCACCAACAUGCAGGAAUCUCAGUCCUCUAGUGGUAAAAAGAAUAAGCAACAACAACACCAAAAAAAAAAAACCAAACAAACAAAAAGAACAACAACAAUAACAACAAAAAUUAUUGGAAUUACUGGAAAAUUUCUAUAGAGAAAAAGAGAAAAAUAUAGAAGCAACAGCAGAAAGUGAGCAAACUUUCAAAAAAAUGAAGAUUGGUCACAAGCUCUGGGGGAACUAAAAAAAGAGUUCAAGAACCAAAUCAAAUCCUUGGUGGUAAUAGGAAAAGGUGAAAUGAAGAUUCAGAAGGAAGCUUGUUGAAGACAGAAGAAGCUUGUUGAAGGGAAGUUAUUAGAAGAACAGAGAACAUCAUGGAAGAUGAAAAGGGAGAUAAAUUUAUGUGCAUCUAGAAGAAAACUACUAAGAUAUAAAGGGGUCUGGAACACCUCUGUCCUAUGUGAACUGAUUUAUGGAUUCUAGAGUGUUAAUCUGAAGGAAAAAAGACAUAAGGAGGAUAUAAUAGAAGUGGUCAACAAUGUGAAGAGCUGACACAUGAAAGAAUAAGACUUGUUAUUUAUGUGAACUCAGUAUUCCAUUUACCACCUUUGCUUCUUUGCUCAAGCUGUCCCUCAUUUCUAGAAUGUACUCUAUCCUCAUCUCUAAAUCUUAACUUUCAUCAAGGUGCAGUUCAGGUGCCAGUUCCUAAUUGGAAGCCAUUCCUGAUCUAUCUAAUCAUUAAUGUUUGAUCUUCAAGAUUAUGUGUGUGUGU